rnacentral:rRNA from 1 species
AUAGCGUAUAUUAAAGUUGUUGCAGUUAAAAAGCUCGUAGUUGAACUUCAGACCUGGUCGGGCGGUCCGCCUCACGGUGUGUACUGUUUGACUGGGCCUUACCUCUUGGUGAGCCGGCGUGCCCUUUAUUGGUGUGCGUCGGGGAACCAGGACUUUUACCUUGAGAAAAUUAGAGUGUUCAAAGCAGGCCUAUGCCCGAAUACAUUAGCAUGGAAUAAUAAAAUAGGACGUGCGGUUCUAUUUUGUUGGUUUCUAGAGUCGCCGUAAUGAUUAAUAGGGAUAGUUGGGGGCAUUGGUAUUGAGUCGCUAGAGGUGAAAUUCUUGGAUUGACUCAAGACCAACUAUUG